rnacentral:piRNA from 1 species
UCAGAAAUAUCCGCAGGACUCAGAUUAGC